UUUCCGUAGGUGAACCUGCGGAAGGAUCAUUAUUGUGUAACCGAGGUGAGAGGGCUGUCGCUGACCCGUUAGUUCGUACACUCCCGAGUGCCCUCACACACAUCCCUCUCUCCCCUAUCUGCAGCGCCGCGUGGGUCCCCCUUUGGCUUGUUCGGUGGGGGGCACACGUUUUCACUCAAACUUUGUAUGCAGUGUAGAAUGUAUUUUUUCUUUUUGCGAUAACGCAAUUAAUUCAGCUUUCAACAACGUAACUAUUGGCUCUCGCCUCAAUGAAAAACG
rnacentral:misc_RNA from 1 species